rnacentral:miRNA from 1 species
UAUGCAUCUGUUAUCUUAACUAGC